AGGAAUUUUCGUCAAUGGGCGCAAGCCUGAACGAGCAACGCCGCGUGGUGGAUGACGGCUUUUGGGUUGUAAACACCUUUUAGGGGGGACGAUAAUGACGGUACCCCCGGAAUAAGCCCCGGCUAACUCUGUGCCAGCAGCCGCGGUAAUACAGAGGGGGCAAGCGUUGUCCGGAGUUACUGGGCGUAAAGCGUACGCAGGCGGUUUGGUAAGUGGAGUGUGAAAGUGGCGGGCUCAACCCGCCGAGGCCAUUGCAUACUGCCAAACUCGAGCCCGACAGAGGCCAGUCGAAUUGCCGGUGUAGUGGUGAAAUGCGUAGAGAUCGGCAGGAAGACCAAGGGAGAAAUCAGCUGGCUGGGUCGGCGCUGACGCUCGUGUACGAAAGCGUGKGGAGCGAACCGGAUUAGAUACCCGGGUAGUCCACGCCGUAAACGAUGGAUACUCGGCAUUUGCUUGCAAUCCGCGAGUGGGUGCCCAAGCUCACGCGAUAAAGUAUCCCGCCUGGGAAGUACGAGCGCAAGCUUAAAACUCAAAGGAAUUUGACGGGGGCCCGCACAAGCAGCGGAGCGUGUGGUUUAAUUCGAAGCAACGCGCAGCACCUCACCCAGGUUUGACAUGCAGAUGCAUGAGGCGGAAACGUCUCAGCCUUCGAGGGUUCUGCACAGAUGCUGCAUGGCUGUCGUCAGCUCGUGUCGUGAGAUGUUGGGUUAAGUCCCGCAACGAGCGCAACCCCCGUGGCUAGUUACACGUGUCUAGCCAGACUGCCCUCCGGGGAGGAAGGCGGGGAUGACGUCAAGUCCGCAUGGCUCUUACACCUGGGGCUACACACACGCUACAAUGACGCCGACAAUGCGUUGCGACCGGGCAACCGGCAGCUAAUCGUGAACCGGCGUCCCAGUGCAGAUUGGGGGCUGCAACUCGCCCCCAUGAAGGUGGAGUUGCUAGUAACCGCGUAUCAGCUACGGCGCGGUGAAUACGUACCCGGGCCUUGUACACACCGCCCGU
rnacentral:rRNA from 1 species